GCCCGCAUAGCUCAGUCGGUAGAGCAUCAGACUUUUAAGAACUGUCAAGUAACAUGGUAUCUGAGGGUCGAGAGUUCAAGUCCCUCUGCGGGCU
rnacentral:tRNA from 1 species